CUCGAUCCCAUCCGAUCCAAGUACCGUAUUUGUUUGUCAUCACAAUCACAAUAUUAAAGAAUCGUGAUCUCCCCCUAUCUCCUCCGCGUUCCCCUUCCCCUUCCUCCCUGUCUCCUGCCUCCCCUCCUCCUCCUCCUCUCAGAUCUCCGGCGACAAGAAGAUGUCGGGGCAGACGCAGAGACUGAACGUGGUGCCGACGGUGACGAUGCUCGGGGUGGUGAAGGCGCGCCUGAUCGGCGCCACGCGGGGGCACGCGCUGCUCAAGAAGAAGUCGGACGCGCUCACCGUGCAGUUCCGCGCCAUCCUCAAGAAGAUCGUCGCCACCAAGGAGUCCAUGGGCGAGGCCAUGCGCGCCUCCUCCUUCUCGCUCGCCGAGGCCAAGUACGUGGCCGGCGACGGCGUGCGCCACGUCGUGCUCCAGUCCGUCCGCUCCGCCUCGCUCCGCGUCCGCUCCCACCAGGAGAACGUCGCCGGGGUCAAGCUGCCCAAGUUCACCCACUUCGUCGACCCCGCUGGCGCCUCCUCCCCCAGCCUCACCGGCCUCGCGCGCGGCGGCCAGCAGGUCUCCGCCUGCCGCGCCGCCCACGUCAAGGCCAUCGAGGUGCUCGUCGAGCUCGCCUCCCUCCAGACCUCCUUCCUCACCCUCGACGAGGCCAUCAAGACCACCAACCGCCGCGUCAACGCCCUCGAGAACGUCGUCAAGCCCAGGCUCGAGAACACCAUCACAUACAUCAAGGGCGAGCUCGACGAGCUCGAGCGCGAGGACUUCUUCAGGCUCAAGAAGAUCCAGGGCUACAAGAGGAGGGAGGUCGAGCGCCAGAUGAUGGCGGCCAAGCUCUUCGCCGAGGAGCAGCUCGCCGAGGAUCUCGCCCUCAAGAGGGGCGUCUCCAUGGGGGCCACGACCAACAUACUGGUUGGCGGCGGCGACAAGGACGAAGACAUCAUCUUCUGAUCUGAUCUCAUCGUCACCCCUGCUCUCCAAUUAUUAUUCAAUCGGAGCAACAUAGAGCAACUUUGUUUCCCCUUCUUAGCGUUACUUGCUGUCUGGGUCUCCCUAAGAAAGGAAUCCUCGCUCUACCUUGCUGAAAAGCAAGGGAAGGCCGGAGUAGACGUGCAUUUCUGCCAUGCGGUGGACACAAUAAGUUGUGGUGCUGGAGCCCCAGAAUGGCAUCUGUUUAUAGAGUGGCGGAGGUUUUGUUUCAGGCAGGCUGUGUGCAGCCUGAUUUGUGGCCCAAGACACAAAAUAAUCUCUCUUCUGUACUUUGGAAACCAAACAUUUGCUGGUGAAACUAGUGGCUAUGUGCAGUAGUAAAUUCUUUUGUACUGUAUUUCAUUUCCCUGCACGCUCGCUUUAGUUACAUAUAUAUUUAUUCAGACAUUGUGUAUC